rnacentral:rRNA from 1 species
GCCUACGGGGGCAGCAGUAGGGAAUCUUCCACAAUGGGCGAAAGCCUGAUGGAGCAACGCCGCGUGGGUGAAGAAGGUCUUCGGAUCGUAAAACCCUGUUGUUAGAGAAGAAAGUGCGUGAGAGUAACUGUUCACGUUUCGACGGUAUCUAACCAGAAAGCCACGGCUAACUACGUGCCAGCAGCCGCGGUAAUACGUAGGUGGCAAGCGUUAUCCGGAUUUAUUGGGCGUAAAGGGAACGCAGGCGGUCUUUUAACUCUGAUGUGAAAGCCUUCGGCUUAACCGGAGUAGUGCAUUGGAAACUG